AUGAAAGGAAAGCAGGGGAAGAGAAAAAGCAAAAUGCCCAGGGGCCCUCGGUGCACAGAUCCCCAAGUAGCGAAAUGGGGAUGCCCAAGGGAGAAGGGGAGCCCCCACAGACGGGAAAGAGGGACAAGGAGAAGAGGAGCAGGGUUAGGAAAUGGCAGAGAAGCGGGGACCGGCGACACGGGCAGGAGCCUGGUAUCGAGGAGGCGGAUGCCCAGAAGGGGAAGCCGCCGGGCGGCAGGAGCCAAAAAGUUCGAGGCAGAAAAUGAAUGGGGGGCAGACCCGGCACAGGUCCGGGGGAGGAGGCGGCGGCGGCCGGCCUGGAAGACGGACCCGGGAGGCGGAGGACCCGAGGACCGCUCCGGCCGCGGCCGGGGGAGGGGGCGGCGGAGGCGGGGUGGCCAAGCCCUCCCAGCGGCGGCGGUUACCUUCUCGCCCGGCUCGGCCCCCGGGGCCUCCCGGGAGGCAUCCACCUCAGGUGUCGGGGGAUCCCCACGCGCCGGCGCCGAGGGGCGGGGACGGAGCCCCGGGGCUGAGGUGCGGGCGGGGGGGCUCGGGCGGGCCUCGGCUCCGCGGCGGCAGCGGCGGCGGCGGCGGGGGCAGCGGGCUCCGCGCCUCCUCCCUCCCCAGCCCGGAGGGAAGGGGGGCGGGGUGACCAAGCGACGGUCCCGGCCGCGGCGCACCCGCCCGCCCGCCGGGCUCCUCCUCCUCCUCCUCCUCCUCCUCCUCGGCCGGGGCCGGGCCGGGCAGCGGGCACAGGCGGCAGCUCCGCUCUGGCCUCCGGGGCUCCCUCCAGGGCCCUGUCACUUCCUGCCAAGCGGGGAGGAGGGGGCGGGUGGGCUGGCAGGCUGGGGAUGGAGGAGAGGGGGGCUGGCGGAGGAGGUGCUUCCGGGGCAGCCCGAUCCCUCCACUCCUCUCCCUCUCCUCUCCUCGCCUCCCUCCCUCCCUCGCUUCCCUCGUUUCCUGCCCGGGCCCGUUGCCAUGGCGACGCAGCUCUUCGGCCUCCCUCGGCCUGGCUGGGCCCCAGUUCCUCCCCCUCCUCCCCAACCCCCUCGACCCUCUUUCUCUGUUCUGCUUCUUGGUUGGAGGGACGAGGGGGCCAAAGUUCUGACUCUAGCGGGGGUUCAGAGAGAAAGGGGGUGA
rnacentral:lncRNA from 1 species